AUUGAACGCUGGCGGCAUGCCUUACACAUGCAAGUCGAACGGCAGCGCGGGAGCAAUCCUGGCGGCGAGUGGCGAACGGGUGAGUAAUACAUCGGAACGUGCCCAAUAGUGGGGGAUAACGCAGCGAAAGCUGUGCUAAUACCGCAUACGAUCUACGGAUGAAAGCAGGGGAUCGCAAGACCUUGCGCGAAUGGAGCGGCCGAUGGCAGAUUAGGUAGUUGGUGAGGUAAAGGCUCACCAAGCCUUCGAUCUGUAACUGGUCUGAGAGGACGACCAGCCACACUGGGACUGAGACACGGCCCAGACUCCUACGGGAGGCAGCAGUGGGGAAUUUUGGACAAAGGGCGAAAGCCUGAUCCAGCCAUGCCGCGUGCAGGAUGAAGGCCUUCGGGUUGUAAACUGCUUUUGUACGGAACGAAACGGUCUUUUCUAAUAAAGAAGGCUAAUGACGGUACCGUAAGAAUAAGCACCGGCUAACUACGUG
rnacentral:rRNA from 1 species